rnacentral:rRNA from 1 species
UAUAUGGGGCCCGUCGUACUGACUGACUGCGUGCCAGCAGCCGCGGGUGGGGCAGAUGAUUGGGGUGAAGUCGUAACAAGGUAGCCUCAGUCAGUCAAGUCGUAACAAGGUAACCUCAGUCAGUCAAGUCGUAACAAGGUAACCUCAGUCAGUCAAGUCGUAACAAGGUAACCUCAGUCAGUCAAGUCGUAACAAGGUAACCUCAGUCAGUCAAGUCGUAACAAGGUAACCUUAGUCAGUCAAGUCGUAACAAGGUAACCUCAGUCAGUCAUGUGUACCCUAAAUA